rnacentral:rRNA from 1 species
UACGUAGGGUGCGAGCGUUAAUCGGAAUUACUGGGCGUAAAGGGCUCGUAGGCGGCCAACUAAGUCAGACGUGAAAUCCCUCGGCUUAACCGGGGAACUGCGUCUGAUACUGGAUGGCUUGAGUUUGGGAGAGGGAUGCGGAAUUCCAGGUGUAGCGGGGAAAUGCGUAGAUAUCUGGAGGAACACCGGUGGCGAAGGCGGCAUCCUGGACCAACACUGACGCUGAGUGAGCGAAAGCCAGGGGAGCAAACGGG